rnacentral:rRNA from 1 species
GAUGAACGCUGGCGGCGUGCCUAAUACAUGCAAGUCGAGCGAACAGACGAGGAGCUUGCUCCUCUGACGUUAGCGGCGGACGGGUGAGUAACACGUGGAUAACCUACCUAUAAGACUGGGAUAACUUCGGGAAACCGGAGCUAAUAACGGAUAAUAUAUUGAACCGCAUGGUUCAAUAGUGAAAGACGGUUUUGCUGUCACUUAUAGAUGGAUCCGCGCCGCAUUAGCUAGUUGGUAAGGUAACGGCUUACCAAGGCAAUGAUGCGUAGCCGACCUGAGAGGGUGAUCGGCCACACUGGAACUGAGACACGGUCCAGACUCCUACGGGAGGCAGCAGUAGGGAAUCUUCCGCAAUGGGCGAAAGCCUGACGGAGCAACGCCGCGUGAGUGAUGAAGGUCUUCGGAUCGUAAAGCUCUGUUAUUAGGGAAGAACAAAUGUGUAAGUAACUAUGCACGUCUUGACGGUACCUAAUCAGAAAGCCACGGCUAACUACGUG